GUUGACCUCGGAUCAGGUAGGGAUACCCGCUGAACUUAAGCAUAUCAAUAAGCGGAGGAAAU
rnacentral:rRNA from 1 species